rnacentral:rRNA from 1 species
UACGUAGGGGGCAAGCGUUGUUCGGAAUUACUGGGCAUAAAGGGCGCGUAGGCGGCACAGCAAGUCGGGAGUGAAAGCCCGGGGCUCAACCCCGGAACUGCUUUCGAAACUGCUGAGCUAGAGUACAGAAGGGGCAACCGGAAUUCCCAGUGUAGCGGUGAAAUGCGUAGAUAUUGGGAAGAACACCUGAGGCGAAGGCGGGUUGCUGGGCUGAUACUGACGCUGAGGCGCGAAAGCCAGGGGAGCAAGCGGG